GGUGAACGCUGGCGGCGUGCCUAACACAUGCAAGUCGAACGGCAGCACAGUAAUCGCUUGCUCUUACGGGUGGCGAGUGGCGGACGGGUGAGGAAUACAUCGGAAUCUACUUUUUCGUGGGGGAUAACGUAGCGAAACUUACGCUAAUACCGCAUACGACCUACGGGUGAAAGCAGGGGAUCUUCUGACCUUGCGCGAUUGAAUUAGCCGAUGUCGGAGUAGCUAGUUGGCGGGGUAAAGGCCCACCAAGGCGACGAUCCGUAGCUGGUCUGAGAGGAUGAUCAGCCACACUGGAACUGAGACACGGUCCAGACUCCUACGGGAGGCAGCAGUGGGGAAUAUUAGACAAUGGGCGGAAGCCUGAUCCAGCCAUACCGAGUGGGUGAAGAAGGCCUUCGGGUUGUAAAGCCCUUUUGUUGGGAAAGAAAAGCAGCAGGUUAAUACGCCGCUGUUGUGACGGUACCCAAAGAAUAAGCACCGGCUAACUUCGUG
rnacentral:rRNA from 1 species